rnacentral:sRNA from 1 species
UAUUCUGCCCCAUGGGGAAGGAUGAGAAGCUUCGACUAAGGUUCGACUCGAGCGAAGCGAGAGAA